UUUAUUCUGCACACUGAUAAAGUUAAAGAGCCGCAGUCUUCUCACUGAGCAAAGGUAGCAUAAUCAAUUGUCUUUUAAUUGAAGUCUGGAAUGAAAGAAGGGAUGAGAUAAAAACUUUUUUAAUUUAAUAAAUUGAAUUUAAUUUUUUAAUAAAAAAGUUAAAAUUUUAAUAAAAGACGAGAAGACCCUAUAGAAUUUUAUAUAAUUUAAAUAUUAAAUAUUAUUAAUGUUUAGAUAUAUUUAAUUGGGAGGAUUGAUAAAAAUUUUUAACUUUAAAAUUUAAUUAAAACAAAAAUUUUUGAAUUUAAAAAUAAUUUUUUUUAAGAAAAUUAAAUUUAAUUACCUUAGGGAUAACAGCGUUAUUAUAUUAAUGAGUUCUAAUUGUUAAUAUAUUUUGCGACCUCGAUGUUGAAUAAGACUCUGGG
rnacentral:rRNA from 1 species